UGGGGGAUAUUGGACAAUGGGGGGAACCCUGAUCCAGCGACGCUGCGUGAGUGAAGAAGUAUUUCGGUACGUAAAGCUCUAUCAGCAGGGAAGAAAAAAAGUCCUUUGGACUUUGGACGGUACCUGACCAAGAAGCCCCGGCUAACUACGUGCCAGCAGCCGCGGUAAUACGUAGGGGGCAAGCGUUAUCCGGAUUCACUGGGUGUAAAGGGAGCGUAGACGGCGAGACAAGUCUGGAGUGAAAGGCCGGGGCCCAACCCCGGGACUGCUCUGGAAACUGCCUGGCUGGAGUACAGGAGAGGUAAGUGGAAUUCCCAGUGUAGCGGUGAAAUGCGUAGAUAUUAGGAGGAACACCAGUGGCGAAGGCGGCUUACUGGACUGUAACUGACGUUAAGGCUCGAAAGCGUGGGGAGCAAACAGG
rnacentral:rRNA from 1 species